rnacentral:rRNA from 1 species
UACAGAGGUCCCAAGCGUUGUUCGGAUUCACUGGGCGUAAAGGGUGCGUAGGCGGUUCGGCAAGUCGGAUGUGAAAUCUCCACGCUUAACGUGGAGGGGCCAUUCGAAACUGCCGUGACUCGAGUCCGGUAGGGGAGUGCGGAAUUCCCGGUGUAGCGGUGAAAUGCGCAGAUAUCGGGAGGAACACCAGUGGCGAAGGCGGCGCUCUGGGCCGGAACUGACGCUGAGGAGCGAAAGCGUGGGGAGCGAACAGG